rnacentral:tRNA from 1 species
GCGCCCGUAGCUCAGUUGGAUAGAGCAUCGGAUUUCUAAUCCGGCGGUCGGGGGUCCGAAUCCCUCCGGGCGCG